rnacentral:lncRNA from 1 species
AUAAGAGUUACUCUCGGCCGGGCACGGUGGCUCACACCUGUAAUCCCAGCACUUUGGGAGGCCAAGGCAGGCGGAUCACAAGUUCAUGAGAUCGAGACCAUCUUGGCCAACAUGAUGCUGGUUUCUGCAGCAGCCUCUCUGCAACCUGAGGGCAGCAAUGCCGACAGGCAGCAAGCUGCAGGCACACUUGACAGAUGUGAAGAUCUGGGUUCUGGGGAUGCUGUUGAGCUGCUCGAUGAGCCCACUUUGGACCUGCCCUACCGCCAGACUUUUUGUGAUCCAAGUGCAAGGAAAUUACAGGGCUAUCAACUCUAUCUCUUUCCAAGACCAGAAAGUCGGCAGAUGGAGAACGGUUUCUAGAUGGGGAGGGAAUCUGCCUUUGGAACUUUUAGCGACCUGGUAUGGUUCAACAUUCCAUCACUAUGCAAAAAUAAAUAAAUAAAUUGCAGACCAACGUACAAAGGAAAGCAGCAAAGUUACUCUUCGCGGGGACGGUUGUGAACAAGGAUAAGAAAUUGGCUGAUUUUGCUGUCGCUCAGCUGGA